GAUGAAGAACGUAGCGAAAUGCGAUAAGUAAUGUGAAUUGCAGAAUUCAGUGAAUCAUCGAAUCUUUGAACGCACAUUGCGCCCGUUAGCAUUCUAGCGGGCAUGCCUGUCCGAGCGUCAUUUCAACCCUCAGGGUCCCCGUUCCGGCGGGGAACCUGGUGUUGGGGAUCGGCCCGCCCCGUGCGGCGCCGUCCCCGAAAUUCAGUGGCGGUCUCGCUGCAGCCUCCCCUGCGUAGUAGUUACAACCUCGCAUCGGAGCUCAGCGCGGCCACGCCGUAAAACCCCCGACUUUCUGAACGUUGACCUUGGAUCAGGUAGGAAUACCCGCUGAACUUAAGCAUAUCAAUAAGCGGAGGA
rnacentral:misc_RNA from 1 species